GUAGGGGUGCGAGCGUUAUCCGGAAUCAUUGGGCGUAAAGAGCUCGUAGGGCGGUUCAGCAAGUCGGCUGUGAAAUUCCGAGGCUCAACCUCGGAACUGCAGUCGAUACUGUUGUGACUCGAGUCCGGUAGAGGAGAAUGGAAUUCCCGGUGUAGCGGUGAAAUGCGCAGAUAUCGGGAGGAACACCAGUAGCGAAGGCGGUUCUCUGGGCCGGCACUGGCGCUGAGGAGCGAAAGCGUGGGUAGCAAACAGGAUUAGAUACCCUGGUAGUCCACGCCGUAAACGUUGGAUACUAGGUGUGGGGUUCCGACCAACGGUCCCCGUGCCGAAGCUAACGCAUUAAGUAUCCCGCCUGGGGAGUACGGCCGCAAAGGCUA
rnacentral:rRNA from 1 species